rnacentral:tRNA from 1 species
GGGAAUGUGGCUUACUGGUGGAGCGUGUGCCCAGCAUGCAUGAAGCCUUGGGUUCAAUUCCUCAUUACCA